UAUAAACCUUUCUUCCUAUUCCCUAAUAUCCCACUUUCUCUCUCUCUUUACAAAACCUCUCUGUGAAGAAACACAGCAUCCGUACAAAAACAAUGGCAAGCAUAGAGCCCCAGCACGAGCACAGAGAAGAGGAAGAAGCGGCUGCCGGAGCCGAUGACGAAGAUACCGGAGCUCAGGUCGCGCCGAUCGUCAGACUGGAGGAAGUAGCCGUAAUAACUGGCGAAGAGGACGAAGAUGCUAUCCUCGAUUUGAAAGCUAAGCUUUAUCGAUUCGAUAAAGAUGGAAAUCAGUGGAAAGAGAGAGGUGCUGGUACUGUUAAGUUUUUGAAACAUAAGGAGACUGGAAAAGUUCGCCUUGUUAUGCGCCAAUCUAAGACUCUUAAGAUCUGUGUUAAUCAUCUAGUUAUUCCGACAAUGACGGUUCAGGAACAUGCUGGAAGUGAGAAAUCCUGUGUGUGGCAUGCAGCAGAUUUUGCUGAUGGUGAAUUGAAGGAUGAAUUUUUCUGUAUUAGAUUUGCGUCCAUCGAGAAUUGCAAGACCUUCAUGGAGACGUUUCAAGAGGUUGCUGAAUCACAAAAGAAGAAAGAGGAAAAUGAGGAUGCAUCUAAUGCUGCUGGCCUACUUGAGAAGUUGAGUGUUGAAGAUGAGAAGUCAGAAGAGAAGAGCGUGGAAAAAGCUGAAGAGAAAACGAAGGAAGACGACAUCAAAGAUGAGAAGCCUUCUGAUAAUGCAGAGAAAAAGGAUGAGACUGCUUCAGCCUGAGAGAUGUUAUGUCAUGUACACCAGAUGUAGUUGGUGAGGUUCAUAAUACCGCCACAUUUACCAACCAAAUUUGGUUAUAUUGUCUGGUCGAGUGCAAGGGUGGUUAAUUCGGUGUUGGUUUUGGGUGGGGUCGGUUUGUUUGGGGGGGAAGAGGGGGGGGGGGGUAUUUGUUUGUCCAUCUCUGAGGUGUUACAAUGUCUUGGAGAUACGUUAAGGUCAGGUCGUGUUCUCUGGUAGAGAAGAUUCAUUUUGAAGGAGGAGGGUAUAGCCUGGCCUUCUAUAUGGAUUGAGAAUUUGACACAUUCAUACAAUAAGUACAGAAUUGGUGGGAUUAUCUCCACACCAACAUGCCAAUCGGUAAUAAAGUCGAGAACUCAUGGUGGUUCAUACACUAUGGUACUUGGUCUUCUCUUCUUAGACUCGGAAUGCUGAAAUUUGCCAUCUAUCUACAUUUAGAAGCCCUUUGACCUGCCGAGGCAAUGUGUCAAAAUAAGUGAAAAUAUAUACUUCCUCUAAUGGGUGAAUUAGAGAAGCCAUGUUGUCCGCAACUUGAUUUGCUUCUCUAAAGCACUGUCUAAUGAUUAGACCUUUUUGUUCAA